UACGUAGGGUGCGAGCGUUAAUCGGAAUUACUGGGCGUAAAGCGUGCGCAGGCGGGCUUUUAAGCCAGACGUGAAAUCCCCGGGCUUAACCUGGGAAUGGCGUUUGGGACUGGGAGUCUGGAGUGCGGCAGAGGAGACUGGAAUUCCUGGUGUAGCAGUGAAAUGCGUAGAUAUCAGGAGGAACACCGGUGGCGAAGGCGGGUCUCUGGGCAGUAACUGACGCUGAGAAGCGAAAGCGUGGGUAGCGAACAGG
rnacentral:rRNA from 1 species